CUUGCUAAGGCCGAUGGCGACCGGCGCACGGGUGAGUAACACGUAUCCAACCUGCCCUUUACUCGGGGAUAGCCUUUCGAAAGAAAGAUUAAUACCCGAUAGCAUAAUGAUUCCGCAUGGUUUCAUUAUUAAAGGAUUCCGGUAAAGGAUGGGGAUGCGUUCCAUUAGGUUGUUGGUGGGGUAACGGCCCACCAAGCCUUCGAUGGAUAGGGGUUCUGAGAGGAAGGUCCCCCACAUUGGAACUGAGACACGGUCCAA
rnacentral:rRNA from 1 species